GAGACGAGAAGAGACGGAGGAGGACAUGGUGGACCGUGAUGGCGCAUUGGAGUUGGUGGCUGGGGCGUCCUCACCAUCCUUCCCGCCCCUGGAAAGUGGAGAGCCCAGAACAGGAUCCACCCAGGACACAAGCACAGACUGAGAUGACAUAACCCGGACGCUGAUGUCGUCAGGGACCGUGUUUCAAAAGGAUGUGGAUUUUACCACCAGCAGGGGAAGGUGAAAAUAUUUAGCCUGCUAGAAAAGUGAUAUAGGGACUCAUCCUAUGGCAGCAAUUCAUCAAUAAUAAGAGA